rnacentral:rRNA from 1 species
AUGUCCCUCCAGCACAUUCCUCAAAAUGUUGGCCUUGAGUCAAGCUCCAAGAAGAAGUUCAACAGAUCUGCAGCUGCUUUGGAUGCUCAUGUACAAGAACUAGAGUACAAGCUUGAGAAGGAGAGGCGAGUCGCUGAGUUGAUGCGAGAGGAGCUUGUUGAUGUCAAGAAGAAAUCAGAGGAGACCGAAGCUGCACGCGCCGCAGAGUACCAGUUGUUACUGCAAAGAGUUGAGGCCACCGAUGCUAGAUUUGCGCAUCUCAUGAAUCUGUUCGAAGGUAAAAUAGUUUAG